CCCUUCCUUUUGAUCCCUGAGAUCCGGCAGCAGCUAAGCGGAAGGUAGUUGAACAGAGAACAAAAGGCUUCUGAGAGGCGAGGCUUCUGGUGAGUCACCAGCACGAUUUAACUGCCAGCCAACUCUUUUGAGAUAUCUCUGAGAGCCAGUAGAGGUAUCUGGAAGCUGAUGGGGAAGGUGAAAGAUCCACUUGCCCACCUGGAGAGACAAUCUCUCAAAAAUUCUCUGAUUUGGAAACUGGCUAUAAUACAGCUGAUAAACUAAAAACCCACAACACAGCUUUGAGAUGGUUUCUGUGACUGAUGGCACUGUGAUCCUGGAAUUUGUGA